AUGUAGAUAGCUCAGCUGGUAGAGCAUGGGACUCUUAAUCUCAGGGUCCUGGGUGAAAUAUUCCUGCAUUGCAGG